rnacentral:rRNA from 1 species
CAAUAGCGUAUAUUAAAGUUGUUGCGGUUAAAAAGCUCGUAGUUGGAUUUCUGUUGGGAACGACCGGUCCGCCCGUUGGGUGUGUAUCUGGCUUGUUCUCGGCAUCUUCUUGGUGAACGUUGCUGCACUUGACUGUGUGGAGCGCUACCCAGGACUUUUACUUUGAGGAAAUUAGAGUGUUUCAAGCAGGCAUAUGCCUUGAAUACAUUAGCAUGGAAUAAUAAGAUAGGACCUCGGUUCUAUUUUGUUGGUUUCUAGAGCUGAGGUAAUGAUUAAUAGGGAUAGUUGGGGGCAUUCGUAUUUAACUGUCAGAGGUGAAAUUCUUGGAUUUGUUAAAGACGGACUACUGCGAAANCANNNGCCAAGGAUGUUUUCAUNGA